GUGCCAGCAGCCGCGGUAAUACGAAGGGCCCGAGCGUUAAUCGGAAUCACUGGGCUUAAAGCGUACGUAGGCGGACGCGCAGGCAUCUUGUGAAAUCCCUCGGCUCAACCGAGGAACUGCUUGGUGAACCGCGUGUCUUGAGGCAAGUAGGGGCUGUCGGAACGAUAGGUGGAGUGGUGAAAUGCGUUGAUAUCUAUCGGAACGCCGAAGGAGAAAUCAGGCAGCUGGGCUUGUCCUGACGCUGAGGUACGAAAGCGUGGGGAGCGAACGGGAUUAGAUACCCCGGUAGUCCACGCCGUAAACGAUGUGCACUAGAUCGAGGGGGUUCUGACACCGCUCUCGGUCGAAGCAAAAGUGUUAAGUGCACCGCCUGGGGAGUACGGUCGCAAGGCUAAAACUCAAAGGAAUUGACGGGGGCUCACACAAGCGGUGGAGCAUGUGGCUUAAUUCGAAGCAACGCGAAGAACCUUAUCCUGGGUUUGACAUGCACGGAUUAACCCGCCGAAAAGCGGGCCACACCUUCGGGUGGAACGUGCACAGGUGCUGCAUGGCUGUCGUCAGCUCGUGCUGUGAAGUGUCGGGUUAAGUCCCUUAACGAGCGAAACCCCUAUCGCUAGUUGCCAGCGGGUCAUGCCGGGGACUCUAGCGAGACUGCCGGCGUCAAGUCGGACGAAGGUGGGGACGACGUCAAGUCCGCAUGGCCUUUAUGCCCAGGGCUGCACACGUGCUACAAUGGCGGGUACAGAACGAUGCAAUACCGCGAGGUGGAGCAAAUCGCAAAAACCCGCCCCAGUUCAGAUUGCAGGCUGCAACUCGCCUGCAUGAAGUCGGAAUCGCUAGUAAUCGCGGAUCAGCUACGCCGCGGUGAAUACGUUCCUGAGCCUUGCACACACCGCCCGUC
rnacentral:rRNA from 1 species